UCCUACUGUGUACCUCAGACUUGAGAGUC
rnacentral:piRNA from 1 species